AUUGAACGCUGGCGGCAGGCCUAACACAUGCAAGUCGAGCGAGCGGCGGACGGGUGAGUAAUGUAUGGGGAUCUGCCCGAUCGAGGGGGAUAACUACUGGAAACGGUGGCUACUACCGCAUACUAUCGGAUGAACCCAUAUGGGAUUAGCUAGCGGGUGGGGUAAAGGCUCACCUAGCCGACGAUCCCUAGCUGGUCUGAGAGGAUGACCGGCAACACUGGAACUGGGACACGGUCCAGACUCCUACGGAAGACAGCAGUGGGGAAUAUUGCACAAUGGGCGCAAGCCUGAUGCAGCCAUGCCGCGUGUAUGAAGAAGGCCUUCGGAUUGAAAAGUACUUUCAGCGAGGAGGCGUUACUCGCAGAAGAAGCACCGGCUAACUCCGUGCCAGCAGCCGCGGUAAUUC
rnacentral:rRNA from 1 species